GUUGUUUGUGUGCGAGUGGAUAAUGUGUUUAUUUAUUUAUCUUGCAUACGGUGGCUGAUUCUUGGACGCGGACCAGAGAUUCAACAGCUUCUCAUGAAUAUUCAGUGCCAGUGUCAGUUUUGUUUGCGGUGAUGGACACCGGAUUGGAUAAUCCGGGUCUACAGAGGCACCCUGAGGGGAAGCCAUUUUGGUCGGUUAGUCUGUGAGGCUGUAUGAAAGCACGGCGCCAGUCGAGUGCCACGAGUUGAGCCAGACGGAAGGCUUUCAAAAUAAUCCUGGUAGAGGAGGCCUGAUUGAUACACCUUAGGUUGUGGCGGUGGGAACAGAAAGCAGCAUUAAAAGAUGCUGACUAUCGAUCUCCAGCUAACUGAGAGGUGAAGAAUUCACACCCUUCCCACAGUCUUACAGAUGACUCAUAGGAGCUUACGUGUGGAACAAAUCUCCAAAACGCUCUAAAAGUUGAUGAAUUGGUGCUUUUAUGGCAGACAGCUGUUAAGAGGACCUUUUUGAACUGAAGAACAAUGUUGUUGUUUUUAAGACUGAUUGUGUUUAGCUUUUUGUGUAUAGUUGUGCAUAUUAGCGUGAAUAUUAAUGUAUACAUUGGGAUGUGAAGUUUGAUGUGUAUAGUUGUACGUAUUAGCGUGUAUAUUAAUGUAUACAUUGGGAUGUGAAGUUUGAUGUGUAUAGUUGUACGUAUUAGCAUGUAUAUUAAAGUAUACAUUGGGAUGUGUAUUUUGAUGUGUAUAGUUGU